AUGGAAAGCACUUUGAAAAGAGGGUGAAAAGCACCUGAAACCGCCAUGGGGGAAGCGGAUUGCAUCAGUGUUUGCUUGUAUCUGUUCAGCUAUCAUUUUUGGUAGUGUAUUCAGUGCUUGCUGUGUUGGCAUGGCUGCUUUGGCUUUGGAUUAUGCAAGGCUAAGUGGUGAGGGCUCCUUUCUAGUUUGAGGAUGUCAACAAAAUGAUGCGACCCGACCCGUCUUGAAACACGGACCAAGGAGUCUAGCACUACUGCAAGUCGAAGGGUUUAAAAACUCAUGGGCGAAGUGAAAGCGAAUAUUAGGAGAUCUGAUACAGAUUAGGGAGGUGUUGCGACUUUGUCAAAAUAUCCUACCCAGAGCAGUUGUGCUGGGACCCGAAAGAUGGUGAACUAUGCCGGAAUAGGGCAAAGCCAGAGGAAACUCUGGUGGAGGCUCGUAGCGAUGCUGACGUGCAAAUCGCUCGUCGAAUUUGGGUAUAGGGGCGAAAGACUAAUCGAACCAUCUAGUAGCUGGUUCCCUCCGAAGUUUCUCUCAGGAUAGCGGGCCGACGAUGUGGGUUGUUUUGUGU
rnacentral:rRNA from 1 species